rnacentral:rRNA from 1 species
AGCGAACGCUGGCGGCAGGCUUAACACAUGCAAGUCGAGCGGGCGUAGCAAUACGUCAGCGGCAGACGGGUGAGUAACGCGUGGGAACAUACCUUUUGGUUCGGAACAACACAGGGAAACUUGUGCUAAUACCGGAUAAGCCCUUACGGGGAAAGAUUUAUCGCCGAAAGAUUGGCCCGCGUCUGAUUAGCUAGUUGGUGAGGUAACGGCUCACCAAGGCGACGAUCAGUAGCUGGCUGAGAGGAUGAUCAGCCACAUUGGGACUGAGACACGGCCCAAACUCCUACGGGAGGCAGCAGUGGGGAAUAUUGGACAAUGGGCGAAAGCCUGAUCCAGCCAUGCCGCGUGAGUGAUGAAGGCCCUAGGGUUGUAAAGCUCUUUUGUGCGGGAAGAUAAUGACGGUACCGCAAGAAUAAGCCCCGGCUAACUUCGUGCCAGCCGCCGCCGU